rfam:TPA: Bos taurus chromosome 18, whole genome shotgun sequence.
UCCCUAGUGGCUCAGACGGUAAAGAGUCUGUCUACAAUGCAGGAGACCUGGGUUCAAUCCCUGGCUUGGGAA